rnacentral:rRNA from 1 species
UAACACGUGGAUAACCUACCUAUAAGACUGGGAUAACUUCUGGAAACCGGAGCUAAUACCGGAUAAUAUUUUGAACCGCAUGGUUCAAAAGUGAAAGACGGUCUUGCUGUCACUUAUAGAUGGAUCCGCGCUGCAUUAGCUAGUUGGUAAGGUAACGGCUUACCAAGGCAACGAUGCAUAGCCGACCUGAGAGGGUGAUCGGCCACACUGGAACUGAGACACGGUCCAU